CAGGUAGUCUAGUGGUUAGAGUGUUGGACUAGUAACCAGCAGGUAGUCUAGUGGUUAGAGUGUUGGACUAGUAACCAGCAGGUAGCCUAGUGGUUAGAGUGUUGGACUAGUAACCAGCAGGGUAGCCUAGUGGUUAGAGUGUUGGACUAGUAACCAGCAGGGUAGCCUAGUGGUUAGAGUGUUGGACUAGUAACCAGCAGGGUAGCCUAGUGGUUAGAGUGUUGGACUAGUAACCAGCAGGGUAGCCUAG